GCAUAUCAAUAAGCGGAGGAAAAGAAACCAACAGGGAUUGCCUCAGUAACGGCGAGUGAAGCGGCAACAGCUCAAAUUUGAAAUCUGGCCGCAAGGUCCGAGUUGUAAUUUGCAGAGGAUGCUUUUGGCGAGGUGCCUUCCGAGUUCCCUGGAACGGGACGCCAUAGAGGGUGAGAGCCCCGUACGGUUGGACCACCGAGCCUCUGUAAAGCUCCUUCGACGAGUCGAGUAGUUUGGGAAUGCUGCUCUAAAUGGGAGGUGUACGUCUUCUAAAGCUAAAUACCGGCCAGAGACCGAUAGCGCACAAGUAGAGUGAUCGAAAGAUGAAAAGCACUUUGAAAAGAGGGUUAAAAAGUACGUGAAAUUGUUGAAAGGGAAGCGUUUAUGACCAGACUUGGGCUUGGUUGAACAUCCGGCGUUCUCGCCGGUGCACUCUGCCAGUCCAGGCCAGCAUCAGUUUGUCCCGGGGGAUAAAGGCGGUGGGAAUGUGGCUCCCCCGGGAGUGUUAUAGCCCGCCGUGCAAUGCCCUGGGACGGACUGAGGAACGCGCUUCGGCACGGAUGCUGGCGUAAUGGUCAUCAACGACCCGUCUUGAAACACGGACCAAGGAGUCGUCUUCGUAUGCGAGUGUUCGGGUGUCAAACCCCUACGCGUAAUGAAAGUGAACGUAGGUGAGAGCUUCGGCGCAUCACCGACCGAUCCUGAUGUUCUCGGAUGGAUUUGAGUAAGAGCAUACGGGGCCGGACCCGAAAGAAGGUGAACUAUGCCUGUAUAGGGUGAAGCCAGAGGAAACUCUGGUGGAGGCUCGCAGCGGUUCUGACGUGCAAAUCGAUCGUCAAAUAUGGGCAUGGGGGGCGAAAGACUAAUCGAACCUUCUAGUAGCUGGGUUUCCCGCCGA
rnacentral:rRNA from 1 species